UCACCUCAAAACUCUGGUGUUCUGAUCGCUUGCCUGAAGAUGUACCAAAGGCAUUGAAUAAAACUCCGCAGGAUUUGCAAUUUGACUAUGUUGAUCUCUAUCUGAUACAUUGGCCAGUGAGUGAAAAAAGGGGAGCUAUGGUUGUUAAGGGGGAAAACCUUACGCAACCGGACAUCCCUGCAACAUGGAGAGUAGUGGAGGCACUCUGUGAUUCCAGUAAGGCUAAGGCUAUUGGAGCGAGUACUUUCUCUGCAAAGAAGCUCCGGGAUCUAUUGGAAGUGGCGCGUAUAACUCCUGUGGUCAAUCAAGUCG